rnacentral:rRNA from 1 species
UGGGGAAUAUUGCACAAUGGGCGAAAGCCUGAUGCAGCGACGCCGCGUGAGGGACGACGGCCUUCGGGUUGUAAACCUCUUUCAGUACCGACGAAGCGAAAGUGACGGUAGGUACAGAAGAAGCACCGGCCAACUACGUGCCAGCAGCCGCGGUAAUACGUAGGGUGCAAGCGUUGUCCGGAAUUAUUGGGCGUAAAGAGCUCGUAGGCGGUUAGUCACGUCGGCUGUGAAAACCUGGGGCUCAACCCCGGGCCUGCAGCCGAUACGGGCUAACUAGAGUUCGGCAGGGGAGACUGGAAUUCCUGGUGUAGCGGUGAAAUGCGCAGAUAUCAGGAGGAACACCGGUGGCGAAGGCGGGUCUCUGGGCCGAUACUGACGCUGAGGAGCGAAAGCGUGGGGAGCAAACAGGAUUAGAUACCCCCGUAGUCC